GCGCCUCUUAUUUCCUUCAUCAUUUUGGCGGACUCAACCCAAUUUCACUCAACCCUUCACAAUUUCCCUAUCAUUCAUUGUUCUCUCUUGUCAAACAUCCUCCAAUUUUCAAUUUCACAUCAGCCAAACUCAAAAUCUGAAAUUCAUUGGUCCCUCACGUUAUUGCGGCGCCAUCGUCAUCGCCGAGCUGUUGCUUCGCCGCCAGCAUCCUGUUCGCUGCUUUCAGACGCUGCUGCGUCCUCUGCCCAUACCCUAGGCGUCGAUUUUGCUCAUCGUACGACGCUAUCACCAGUGUUCUCGCCCCAAUCGAAGAAGCCUAGGUAUUAAUAUAUUAUUGAAGGGAAUCAAAAUUCUAAACAAGAUUCAUCUCGUUGCUCUGCAAUUCUAGGUAUCCAUAUAAAUUAUUUCUUAUUUUUCAAUUUUAAGUAGCUUAUUACAGGAGUUCACGUGAAUUAAGCAAUCGCGGUUAAGGAAAUGCACAUAAAGUGUUUGUGAAAUUUCUUGAGUGAAAAUUUAGGUUUUUUCUUUUAUUUGUUGUUUUCCUAGUUCUAUAUGUUGCUUAUAUAACUUGGUUAUUGUUUAUGGCAAUAUCUGUUGCUUUCGAUUAUUCUUAUAUAUAUAUUUUUUUCCUCUAGUCUAAUCAAUUCUGAAAUCUUCUCGUUGAUUCCCAAAGUUAUCAUUUAAGUUGAGUUUCUUUGGAGCAAAUGGUGAAUUUAAAUUGUAGGUCUAAAGAACUUUUGCAUUGUCCCUUACUGCAGAAUAUAGCAGGGAAGUAACAUAUUUGCACUAAGCUGCUUACUAUAUAACUUGAUUCUCAUUUUUGAAAGUAUCUGUUAUGUUUGUUUAUUUCUUAUAUCUUGUCUAUAGUCUAGUGAAUUCUGAAAUCUUCUAUCAUUUGCCCACAGUUCUCAAUUAUGAAGUACAGCUCCAUUUGAGCAAAUGGUGGAUCUGAGCUCUAGGUCUAGUAACUUCUGUAUUGUUCCUUACUAGAAGCAAUAGUGGGAGAGCAUAAUAUUUUCACUCUUUUACUUGAAUUUAAUGCAAGUUAAAAUUUCUCCCAGGACGUUAGGCAGCUAAAACAACAAGCAACAACACUAAUGGCUGUAACCACAUGGUGCGUUUAACUUGGGUUGAAUGCUGUUGGUCAUCAUUUUUUAGUGUUAUAAACUGCUAGAGGAUGUUUUAGGAUACUAGUUUGAGUUGAUUAAGGGCAUGAUUGUUUUCUGUGGAGUGUGAUAAAUAGGUUAUUUGCAAUAUUGUGGAGAAGGAAUAACAAUAUUUUGGAAGAAACUAUUGAAGAGUAUGUUUUUGUUUAUUUUUUUUUGUAGUUGUAUUGGAGAGUGUGGCUUAAUAUUUAGUGUUUCUUUUUUCAGGUGAAUAAUGAUUAAAAAAAAUGUAAAAGUAACUUGUUCCUGAUUGAAAUAUAUAUUUAGACUCCAUUAUCAUUUAAUCUCUUAUUCCAGAGUCCACCAUAAUUAAUGAGAUUGAGUUAUCACUUUGUUAUAUAAACAUCUUUGUAACUGUUAACAAAGAAGACAAAUAGUGGAUGGUAUUUUUCGAGAUAAUAUCCCAUUCAAUGUAGGCUUGAGUUACUUUGAGAAAUCACAUGACUUUGUUCUAAACUAUAAUCAUAUUCGCAGGCCUAUCACUUGGAGUAAUAAGUGAUGUAGUUGCCUUGUUCACGGGUGCUCUAGGGAAAUUAUAAUGAUACAGUUAAGAUUUGUAUACUGUGUGUAAGAGUUUGAUUGUGUCUAUUUUAAAAGGAAUCUGAACUAGAACUGAGAUUAAUUUACUUCUGCCUUCUUUGUCUUUACCUAGUUGCUCUUUUGCCAUUGUUGCAUGCAUAGCUUUAUGAUGUGUGAUAUUACUUUUUUAAUUCUUUUUCUGUCUUAGUUGUUCAUAAUUUUUGCAAAUACUUGGAUUUUAUAGAUUUUUUGGAUUGUAAAUUAACCUGACAUAUGUUGUUGAAAUCUGCUUUAUUUCUAAGGGCUCUGUGUUUCAGCUGAAAUGAUGAAAAUCAAAUUGUUGAAUUUUGUUUGGUAAAAAUAUUCUUGAUGAAUUCAG
rnacentral:lncRNA from 1 species